CUUUUUUGCUAGUUCCGCAUGAUGAAGACUGAAUAUUACUUAUAAUACCGUCAUUUCUUCUUGUACUGAUGGAAAAGGAAAUGUUUUAGGUUUGCUUUUGUCUGGUACAUCCAGAGUCAACAGCCUCUUGUGUAUGUAAUGCCUUCUAUCGUAAAGAACAGUGUCAAUAUUUAGCUACUUUCCUCCAUGUGUAAAUAAAAGAACUUGUAAUCCUCUAUUUUUUUCUUCCCAUUCUGCUUGAGAAGGCUAAUUUUCAAAGUCUGUUUCUUCUGGUGUUCUUUGAGACUUUCCCCCCACCUCUAAGUAUUUGCAUUUGAAAUGUUAUUUGGGGGACUGAAAAAUAUUUCUUCUGUUUGCUUUCCAAAUAAUGGAACUGACUCAGAAAAAGAGUGCUGGCAUUAGCUGGAAACUCUGCUAAGUUACAAAAUCAGACGUGAUUUGUACAGCCUUGAAGUUUAGAGUUGCUUCUGGAAAUGCAUACCGUGUACCUGCCAACUCAGAUAAACGGAGACUUGUUAACGUCACUGCUGGUGGAAUAUCCUCAGUAUAUGAAGACAGAGAAAAGAAAGGAGGCCAGUGACAGCCAGUUGGGCUGCUCUAUAGUCAUCAUUCAAGAUUUGCUCCUUUGUGGGACCGAUUUUUGGACAACAGACCUUUCUGCUGGUGGUGUCUUUCGUGGUUGAAGAAGCAGUAAUGAGACAAAGGUCACAUGACUCGAUGGCAAGCAUCUCCAUUUGCUUUCUUCAGUAGGAUUAACUGCUGAUAAUUAUGGAAAGGAAGAGGUUGCAAGGAGGACAUCUUUUAUUUCUCAAUUGUUCCCAUUUGAUUUUUGAGGCAUGGAUAAACAGAUCUUUUGGAUAGGAAUAAAGAAGCAGAAAGAAUAUGUGAUUUUGUUAUG
rnacentral:lncRNA from 1 species